rnacentral:sRNA from 1 species
GUGAGGAAGGGGGUGACUAGUGACAGAGUGAGAAAGGGGGUGACUAGUGACAGAGGGAGGGGUGACUAGGGACAGAGUGAGGGAGGUGGUGACUAGUGACAGUCACCACCUCCCUCACUCUGUCACUGUGUCACCCCCUCCAUCUGUCACUGGUCAUCCACUCCCUCCCUCCCUCCCUCUGUCACUGGUCACCCACUCCCUCCCUCACUUUGUCACCAGUCAUCCACUCACUCUGUCACUAGUAACCCCUUCCUUCCCUCAC